AUACGGAGGAUCCGAGCGUUAUCCGGAUUUAUUGGGUUUAAAGGGUGCGCAGGCGGGAGAUUAAGUCGGCGGUGAAAUUUUGCAGCUCAACUGUAAAAGUGCCUUCGAAACUGGUUUCCUUGAGUGUAGAUGAAGUAGGCGGAAUUUGUGGUGUAGCGGUGAAAUGCAUAGAUAUCACGAGGAACUCCGAUUGCGCAGGCAGCUUACUAAACUACUACUGACGCUCAGGCACGAAGGCGUGGGGAUCAAACAGGAUUAGAUACCCUGGUAGUCCACGCAGUAAACGAUGAUUACUAGCUGCUUGCGAUACAAUGUAAGCGGCUGAGCGAAAGCGUUAAGUAAUCCACCCGGGGAGUACGUUCGCAAGAAUGAAACUCAAAGGAAUUGACGGGG
rnacentral:rRNA from 1 species